AUCUUGGUUCAGGAGCCUGAUGGUUGGGUGUUCAUGCCAUUGUGUGAGAUGUGUUUCCCCCUCAAACAUCAUUAGAACAUCAGGAUUUUAUCUGUUUGGUG